rnacentral:tRNA from 2 species
GGGCGGAUGGCGAAAUUGGUAGACGCACCACACUCAAAAUGUGGCGGCUUCGGCCGUGAGAGUUCGAGUCUCUCUCUGCCCAUCA